UGGGGAAUUUUGCGCAAUGGACGAAAGUCUGACGCAGCAACGCCGCGUGGGUGAUGAAGGUCUUCGGAUCGUAAAACCCUGUCGUCAGGGACGAAGGUUGGGGUGUAAAUAGCACUUCAGCUUGACGGUACCUGGAGAGGAAGCCCCGGCUAACUCUGUGCCAGCAGCCGCGGUAAUACAGAGGGGGCAAGCGUUAUUCGGAAUUAUUGGGCGUAAAGGGCGCGUAGGCGGUGAUUUAAGUGAGAUGUGCAAUCCCCGAGCUCAACUUGGGAACUGCAUCUCAUACUGGAUCGCUAGAGUGCUGGAGAGGGUGGUAGAAUUCCACGUGUAGCGGUGAAAUGCGUAGAGAUGUGGAGGAAUACCAGUGGCGAAGGCGGCCACCUGGACAGCAACUGACGCUGAGGCGCGAAAGUGUGGGUAGCAAACAGG
rnacentral:rRNA from 1 species